UAUUGGACAAUGGGGGGAACCCUGAUCCAGCCAUGCCGCGUGUGUGAAGAAGGCCUUUUGGUUGUAAAGCACUUUAAGCGAGGAGGAGGCUACUAGUAUUAAUACUACUGGAUAGUGGACGUUACUCGCAGAAUAAGCACCGGCUAACUCUGUGCCAGCAGCCGCGGUAAUACAGAGGGUGCGAGCGUUAAUCGGAUUUACUGGGCGUAAAGCGUGCGUAGGCGGCUGAUUAAGUCGGAUGUGAAAUCCCUGAGCUUAACUUAGGAAUUGCAUUCGAUACUGGUCAGCUAGAGUAUGGGAGAGGAUGGUAGAAUUCCAGGUGUAGCGGUGAAAUGCGUAGAGAUCUGGAGGAAUACCGAUGGCGAAGGCAGCCAUCUGGCCUAAUACUGACGCUGAGGUACGAAAGCAUGGGGAGCAAACAG
rnacentral:rRNA from 1 species